GACGAACGCUGCCGGCGUGCUUAACACAUGCAAGUCGAACGGUGAGGCCCUGCUUUUGUGGUGUGCUCGAGCCGCGAACGUGUGUGUCACACGUGAGAAACCUCCCCUUGUCUGUGAUACAACUUGAAGAAAGUGGGUCUUAUAGGGUAUGGGAGCUCCUUCUGCAGGGGGUGUUUGGGAGAGUUUCGGCGGUUGGGUAGGGACUCGCGGCAUAUCAUCUUGUUGGUGGGGUAGUGGCUUACCGAGGCUUUGACGGGUAGGCGGCCUGAGAGGGUGACCGGCCACAUUGGGACUUAGACACGGCCCAGACUCCUACGGGAGGCAGCAGUGGGGAAUAUUGCACAAUGGGCGGAAGCCUGAUGCAGCAACGCCGUGUGAGGGAUGACGGCCUUCGGGUUGUAAACCACUUUCGGCUGGGAAGAAGCGUGAGUGACGGUAACUGCUAAAGAAGCACCGGCUAACUACGUG
rnacentral:rRNA from 1 species